rnacentral:rRNA from 1 species
UACGGGGGGGGCAAGCGUUGUUCGGAAUUACUGGGCGUAAAGGGCUCGUAGGCGGCCAACUAAGUCCGACGUGAAAUCCCAAGGCUUAACCUUGGAACUGCGUCGGAUACUGGAUGGCUUGAAUUCGGGAGAGGGAUGCAGAAUUCCAGGUGUAGCGGUGAAAUGCGUAGAUAUCAGGAAGAACACCCGUGGCGAAGGCGGCUCUCUGGGACGGUACUGACGCUGAGACGCGAAAGCGUGGGGAGCGAACAGG